rnacentral:rRNA from 1 species
CGGAGGGGCUAGCGUUGUUCGGAAUUACUGGGCGUAAAAGCGCACGUAGGCGGAUUGGAAAGUCAGAGGUGAAAUCCCAGGGGCUCAACCCCUGGAACUGCCUUUGAAAACUACCCCAGUCUUGAGGUCGAGAGAGGUGAGUGGAAUUCCGAGUGUAGAGGUGAAAUUCGUAGAUAUUCGGAGGAACACCAGUGGCGAAGGCGGCUCACUGGCUCGAUACUGACGCUGAGGUGCGAAAGCGUGGGGGAGGCAAACAGGAUU